rnacentral:rRNA from 1 species
GGGGAAUAUUGCACAAUGGGGGAAACCCUGAUGCAGCGACGCCGCGUGGAGGAAGAAGGUCUUCGGAUUGUAAACUCCUGUUGUUGGGGAAGAUAAUGACGGUACCCAACAAGGAAGUGACGGCUAACUACGUGCCAGCAGCCGCGGUAAAACGUAGGGUGCAAGCGUUGUCCGGAAUUACUGGGUGUAAAGGGAGCGCAGGCGGGAAGACAAGUUGGAAGUGAAAACCAUGGGCUCAACCCAUGAAUUGCUUUCAAAACUGUUUUUCUUGAGUAGUGCAGAGGUAGAUGGAAUUCCCGGUGUAGCGGUGGAAUGCGUAGAUAUCGGGAGGAACACCAGUGGCGAAGGCGGUCUACUGGGCACCAACUGACGCUGAGGCUCGAAAGCAUGGGUAGCAAACAGGAUUAGAUACCCUGGUAGUCCAUGCCGUAAACGAUGAUUACUAGGUGUUGGGGGAUUGACCCCCUCAGUGCCGCAGUUAACACAAUAAGUAAUCCACCUGGGGAGUACGACCGCAAGGUUGAAACUCAAAGGAAUUGACGGGGGCCCGCACAAGCAGUGGAGUAUGUGGUUUAAUUCGAAGCAACGCGAAGAACCUUACCAGGUCUUGACAUCCGAUGCAUAGCACAGAGAUGUGUGAAAUCCUUCGGGACAUCGAGACAGGUGGUGCAUGGUUGUCGUCAGCUCGUGUCGUGAGAUGUUGGGUUAAGUCCCGCAACGAGCGCAACCCUUAUUGCCAGUUACUACGUUAAGAGGACUCUGGCGAGACUGCCGUUGACAAAACGGAGGAAGGUGGGGAUGACGUCAAAUCAUCAUGCCCUUUAUGACCUGGGCUACACACGUACUACAAUGGCGUUAAACAAAGAGAAGCAAGACCGCGAGGUGGAGCAAAACUCAAAAACAACGUCUCAGUUCAGAUUGCAGGCUGCAACUCGCCUGCAUGAAGUCGGAAUUGCUAGUAAUCGCGGAUCAGCAUGCCGCGGUGAAUACGUUCCCG